AGCUCUGUGCUCAGUCUGGAUCACAACUAGAUCAUAGUGGCCAACAUCUUGACUGUUUCUCAGUGGUGCUACUCAGAGAGUAAUCCAAAUAACGACUACAUUUCAAUAGGAUUUCCUCUGAUGUGCAGCUGAAACCGAAAUUUCCUGCUCAAAGCUACAAAAUGAAUCCAUGAUAGAGGUGGGAUGAACCAAGGUCUCUCAAAAAGUACAUUAUCAGUCCAAUGGAAUGCACUGGCUUUCAGAGGUUUCACAUAGAUGUUAAAAAGCAUUGAAGAUAGUAUGAAGCCUUGUGGGAUGCCAUACAGAAACUCUUGUUUUGAAGAGCAACAGUCUCCAAGUGACACCAUCUGGAAUUUGCCGAAGAUGUAGGAGCGGAACCACUGCAAAAUAGUGCCUCCCACUCCCAACUCCCUCAGACGAUCCAGAAGGAUAUGUGGGUGAUUACCCCACCCAUCUACUCAGCACAAUGAGGCUACGGCGGGAUCCCUGUGGGCUCUGCAAUCUGCUUCUGGAUGUGAGUGUGGAGGAAGCACAACACUUGCCUUUUUCUGAGAUACUCUUUGUGCUGUGCUCCAGCUUUAGAGCUGAAGAACUGAAACAAGCACAUGGAUGAGCUGCCAUACAGACACUAAACUCAGCUGUGCAAUCCCUUGCAUGGUGCUGGAAGUGCAAUCUUCAUGCAGAAGGAAGCAAGUAUGGGGUGUGCCAUCUAUGGAUAGAGGAUGCAGAGGAGAAGUGGUACACAACUUUUCCUGGACUCCAAAUAGCUGAUGAGUACAGACUGUGGUACUGCUGUCCUCAUGCUGGUGAGCAGCUUGCAAAGAUUAUGGCACAUUCACAACAGUGAUUUCCAGGACACCAUAUUGGUUUGGACAGGUGAACUUCACUAUAGGAUUUCAUGGGCCUUACGGAUCGGUUUGUAUAUGCAAAUUCCAAACAGGAAAGCACAUGCACUCAAAGCAGGACAGCUGCAAAAACAGUCUCUGCUUUGAAUGUCAUUCAGUAGCAAGUGGCU